UACGUAGGGGGCUAGCGUUGUCCGGAAUCAUUGGGCGUAAAGCGCACGUAGGCGGCUUUCUAAGUCAGGGGUGAAAUCCUGGAGCUCAACUCCAGAACUGCCUUUGAUACUGGAGAGCUUGAGUCCGGGAGAGGUGAGUGGAACUCCGAGUGUAGAGGUGAAAUUCGUAGAUAUUCGGAAGAACACCAGUGGCGAAGGCGGCUCACUGGCCCGGUACUGACGCUGAGGUGCGAAAGCGUGGGGAGCAAACAGG
rnacentral:rRNA from 1 species